rnacentral:rRNA from 1 species
GAUGAACGCUGGCGGUGUGCCUAACACAUGCAAGUCGAACGGAAACGCCGUGCUUUCGUGCUGUGCCGGAGUGGCGAACGGGUGCGUAACACGUGUGCAACCUGCUCUAGAUUUUGGGAUAACUUAACGAAAGUGGGCUUACUCUCGGACAGGAGCCUCCCUUCCAUGGUGGGCGUGGGAUAGUUUCGGCUGUCGGGGUUGGAUUGGCGGCUUAUCAGCUUGUUAGUGGGGUAGUGGCAUACCAAGUCAUUGACGGAUAGCCGGCCUGGGAGCGUGGCCAGCCACAUUGGGACUAAGGUACGGCCCAGACGCCUACAGGGGGCAGCGGUGGCGAGUCUUACACAGUGAGCGGGAGCCUGAUGCGACGGCGCCGCGUGCGGGAUGACGUCCUUCGGGUUAUGAACCGCUUUCGCCUAAGACGAAGCGGGAGUGACGGUAAUGAAUGAAGAAGCACCGGCUAACUACGUG